rnacentral:rRNA from 1 species
AAGACCUUGCGCUUUUGGAGCGGCCGAUGCCUGAUUAGCUUGUUGGUAAGGUAAAAGCUUACCAAGGCUUCGAUCAGUAGCUGGUCUGAGAGGACGACCAGCCACACUGGGACUGAGACACGGCCCAGACGCCUACGGGAGGCAGCAGUGGGGAAUUUUGGACAAUGGGGGCAACCCUGACCCAGCCAUGCCGCGUGAGUGAAGAAGGCCUUCGGGUUGUAAAGCUCUUUCAGCCGGAACGAAACGGUUACGGAUAACACCCGUGACUACUGACGGUACCGGAAGAAGAAGCACCGGCUAACUACGUGCCAGCAGCCGCGGUAAUACGUAGGGUGCGAGCGUUAAUCGGAAUUACUGGGCGUAAAGCGUGCGCAGGUGGUUUUGUAAGUCAGAUGUGAAAGCCCCGGGCUCAACCUGGGAACU